CAGGCUUAACACAUGCAAGUCGAGGGGCAGCAUGGUCUUAGCUUGCUAAGGCCGAUGGCGACCGGCGCACGGGUGAGUAACACGUAUCCAACCUGCCGUCUACUCUUGGACAGCCUUCUGAAAGGAAGAUUAAUACAAGAUGGCAUCAUGAGUCCACAUGUUCACAUGAUUAAAGGUAUUCCGGUAGACGAUGGGGAUGCGUUCCAUUAGAUAGUAGGCGGGGUAACGGCCCACCUAGUCUUCGAUGGAUAGGGGUUCUGAGAGGAAGGUCCCCCACAUUGGAACUGAGACACGGUCCAAACUCCUACGGGAGGCAGCAGUGAGGAAUAUUGGUCAAUGGGCGAGAGCCUGAACCAGCCAAGUAGCGUGAAGGAUGACUGCCCUAUGGGUUGUAAACUUCUUUUAUAAAGGAAUAAAGUCGGGUAUGCAUACCCGUUUGCAUGUACUUUAUGAAUAAGGAUCGGCUAACUCCGUGCCAGCAGCCGCGGUAAUACGGAGGAUCCGAGCGUUAUCCGGAUUUAUUGGGUUUAAAGGGAGCGUAGAUGGAUGUUUAAGUCAGUUGUGAAAGUUUGCGGCUCAACCGUAAAAUUGCAGUUGAUACUGGAUAUCUUGAGUGCAGUUGAGGCAGGCGGAAUUCGUGGUGUAGCGGUGAAAUGCUUAGAUAUCACGAAGAACUCCGAUUGCGAAGGCAGCCUGCUAAGCUGCAACUGACAUUGAGGCUCGAAAGUAUGGGUAUCAAACAGGAUUAGAUACCCUGGUAGUCCACACGGUAAACGAUGAAUACUCGCUGUUUGCGAUAUACGGCAAGCGGCCAAGCGAAAGCGUUAAGUAUUCCACCUGGGGAGUACGCCGGCAACGGUGAAACUCAAAGGAAUUGACGGGGGCCCGCACAAGCGGAGGAACAUGUGGUUUAAUUCGAUGAUACGCGAGGAACCUUACCCGGGCUUAAAUUGCAGAUGAAUUACGGUGAAAGCCGUAAGCCGCAAGGCAUCUGUGAAGGUGCUGCAUGGUUGUCGUCAGCUCGUGCCGUGAGGUGUCGGCUUAAGUGCCAUAACGAGCGCAACCCUUGUUGUCAGUUACUAACAGGUUCCGCUGAGGACUCUGACAAGACUGCCAUCGUAAGAUGUGAGGAAGGUGGGGAUGACGUCAAAUCAGCACGGCCCUUACGUCCGGGGCUACACACGUGUUACAAUGGGGGGUACAGAGGGCCGCUACCACGCGAGUGGAUGCCAAUCCCCAAAACCUCUCUCAGUUCGGACUGGAGUCUGCAACCCGACUCCACGAAGCUGGAUUCGCUAGUAAUCGCGCAUCAGCCACGGCGCGGUGAAUACGUUCCCGGGCCUUGUACACACCGCCCGUCAAGCCAUGGGAGCCGGGGGUACCUGAAGUGCGUAACCGCGAGGAGCGCCCUAGGGUAAAACUGGUGACUGGGGCUAAGUCGU
rnacentral:rRNA from 1 species